UGGGGAAUCUUAGACAAUGGGCGCAAGCCUGAUCUAGCCAUGCCGCGUGAGUGAUGAAGGCCUUAGGGUCGUAAAGCUCUUUCGCCUGUGAAGAUAAUGACUGUAGCAGGUAAAGAAACCCCGGCUAACUCCGUGCCAGCAGCCGCGGUAAUACGGAGGGGGUUAGCGUUGUUCGGAAUUACUGGGCGUAAAGCGCACGUAGGCGGAUCAGAAAGUUGGGGGUGAAAUCCCGGGGCUCAACCCCGGAACU
rnacentral:rRNA from 1 species